rfam:Danio rerio chromosome 4, GRCz11 reference primary assembly.
GGUAGCGUGGCCGAGGUGUCUAAGGCGCUGGAUUUAGACCCCAGUCUCUUCGGGGGCGUGGGUUCGAUUGCCACCACUGCCA